CAAUAUUCUCAGGGCGGGGCGCAAUUCCCCACCGGUGGUUAUAGCCCACGAGCGCUUAAUAAAAUUCAAUUUUAUUAAGGACAAGCAGAUUUGGUGAGAUUCCAAAGCCGACAGUUAAAGUCUGGAUGAAAGAGAGUGGCU
rfam:Gilliamella apicola strain wkB1, complete genome.